rnacentral:rRNA from 1 species
UACGAAGGGGGCUAGCGUUGCUCGGAAUUACUGGGCGUAAAGUGUGCGCAGGCGGCUCUGCAAGUCGAGUGUGAAAUCCCCGAGCUUAACUUGGGAAUUGCGCUCGAAACUACGGAGCUGGAGUGUGGCAGAGGAAGGUGGAAUUCCACGUGUAGCGGUGAAAUGCGUAGAGGAUGUGGAGGAACACCGAUGGCGAAGGCAGCCUUCUGGGCCAACACUGGACGCUCAUGCACGAAAGCGUGGGGAGCAAACAGG